UCUCUUUCCUCUCCUCUCCUCUCCUCUCCUCUCCUCUCCUCUCUUCUUUUGCCGCUGAACUUAGGGUUGACUGAAGGUCUGGGCAGCAUGUGGGUAAUCUUCCGCCGCUCGGGUAUGGUUGGAAAUUGUCCGUGUGCAUCGGUGGGACUUGAACCUAGGUCCUUGGGGUCACGACGUCCGUACGCUAACCACCCGGCCACCGCCUCCCCAGCUGUGUGGCUGUGUUCUUGCCAUGGUGCAGUACACUUCUUUUUCCGGACUAUUUGCAUUGUCUAUUUACAACGAAAUUAAUAAAAAUAAAAAUACCGUGUAAGUAGGUAAUGAUUUGUCAGUUCCAAUAGAAUUCUACAUUAUUUUGUGUGUGUGUGCAUGUGAGUGUGGAUGUGCUAUGAUUCACUGAUUGGGAACAUUAAGUUCAGUCAUUCCUUUCUGUUCAAGGCAGCGUGAAGUGAGCGUCGCCUCGCGUCGUCAUCGGCUGUGGUGAGUUAUACAAAAUGUUUCCCCUCCGGCCUGUCUCGGAGAGUGUUUCCAUCCGCAGUCCAUCAGCAUUUUUCAUUGCCAUCUCACGACUCCUUUAGUCAUUACAUCACUUAGAGAGCAUUAUUGACCAUCUAGCGAAACAUAAUAUGAUUCAUAUUGUCUAAGUGAAUAUUGUUUUAGUAAUCUUCUGUCGUUUUACAGAACUGUGUACGAAGUUGCAGUUUGAGACUAAAUUUAUGACAUUAUAUGUCUUGCUUUUAGUUAAGCAUUCGACAGGGUGUCUCAGCAAAGGCUUUGAAGUGAGCUAAUGGUCAAUGGGAUGGAGGGUAAAGUUUUGAGAUGGAUCAUGGCGUGGCUCAAUGAUGCGGAGAGUCCAGUGCACGACAAAAAAUUUGGUUGAACUCACGUCACUAUCAGUAUCAUUUACAUUGGCGAUCUUGAUUGUGGCAUAACCAGACAUCAGCAUGGUCUGGCUGGUCCACUUAACAGGUAACGCAGCCAGACAAAUGUUUCACUCUUGGCAUCUUGUACGGUACCAGCCUCUUGCCCUCAAUUCUGUCCAGCUGCGCCUCGCCCCAUCGCAUAAGUAGCGGCAGCGUCAGGUCACCUCGAGAACCAGACUGUCCAUUGUUUGUCUCGACGCUCGCCGGGUGUUGGUGGAGCGGCGUUCGGCGUGCCUCCUCGUGUUUGUGUUGCCGCCUCUGGCUCGGCCGCCGCGGAACAGGAAGCAGGAAAACUCGGUAAAAUCGUUGUUAUUUGAGUCGCACCUCCACCUGUGUAAACAUCGGACGUAAAUGCACGAAUGUGUAUAUUUGUUUGCUAAAGGCAACUCCAGCUGUCAUCCACCUCCUUGUCAAGUCAGGUGUUGUAGAUCAUCGUCAUUAUCACCAUCAUCAUCGUCAUUAUCAUCAUCAUCAUCGUCAUUAUCAUCAUUAUCAUCUUAAACCAUUAUUAGUCCACUGUAUACAUGACAAACGGCUUUCUCAACGUUCUCCUCCUCUCUCUGUUAUAGUAUGCUUCGCCCUGCUCCGACAUAUGACUCUACCUGUACUGACUACAAUUUCUUGUCUGUCACUCCAUGGUGCAGUGGUUAGCGUGAUUAGCUACGAAUCCGCGGGCCCGGGUUCGAAUCCCGAGCGGGCAGUCGGCGCGCAGCCUACCCAGCUUUCCAUCCUCCCUUUCAGGCUGGUCGAUAAAUGUGUACGUACCUGGGGAAACCUGGGGAAGGUAAACUGUGGUAACCCGGAUGUCACGCUGACCCUGUGUCCCGGGGUGAUGAGUCCUUACCCACCACAGGCUUAAAGGUCAGUGCGACAGAGAUGAGCACCGAGGCAACGCGCAGCUAUAGCGUGUUGCCCUAACUUUACCUUUAUUACUAUGUACCUUUAUUACUUUCGUUGUCCGUCUGUUAACAAUGCGACGCGGGAUAUGAUCUGGUAAUUUCUUAACCCUGCCCCUCUGUCCCUCCAUUUCUGUAAUCUGUAUUCUCUCGUCCUUUUUUCCUAUCUCGCCGCUUGCCCUUUAAUUUUCUCUUUUUUAGCGUCUCGGGUGUUUGGGGGAUGCUGAACAGGCGGCGUGUAGUGUUCGCACUCCUUCCCCUCUACCUGUUUCGUCUAAUAAUAAUAAUAAUAAUAAUAAUAAUAAUAAUAAUAAUAAUAAUAACAAGUAAUUAAAAUGUCUCCAAACUUUGUCUUUUCUCUAAUAACUGAGAUACAACAAUAAUAAAAAGAAAUUGUCUUUUAACUUCCGAUCACCAAAACUUUACAAAAAAAAAAAAUGAGAAGCAACGAAACUAUUGAAGCGUUAAUCAUUCCAAUAUUUUUUUGCGAAGUAUCAACAACGCUGACUUUUACAGAUGUAACGGUGGGCGAAGAAUAUCACCAGGUAGUUUUCCCUGGCCCGUAACAAAUGAUCAUAGACGAGAACACACUCAUUAGAUAGAAACUACCCGCCACACGACUUAUCAGCGACAGAAAUCCGCAGGCCGAGAGGAAAAGACGAGACGGCGCAAGCAUCGAGGCUGGCCACCACAUAGACACUUUGUGCAAUGCUGCGGCGGCGAGGAGAUUGAGGGAAAGUCUGUGAGAAAGAGAUUGAUGAAAUAAGUGUCUCCUGCGCCAUUGGUUCACGUGGGGGGGAGGGGGUGCAGGGGCAGGCUGGGGGAGGAGGAGGAAGUGAAGGGCCGGAGUUGGAAGGAGCAAGUGGCGGGCUGGGGUGUGAAGCAGGAAGUGGCGGGUUGGGGGUGUGAGGAGAACCGGUAGCGUUGGGGGAGGGAGGGGGGGAAGGAGGUGAAGGCGGGUAUGAUCAAGGCCGUGCAUGGGUAUAUGGUCCAGCUCUAUGACCCUGCAGCUAUGCCUCAAGGCUCGGGGCCGAACAUAAUAGAAACAAAUCUGCUGUGAGAGUGUGGGCACAAGGAUCCACAGAGAUAUAAUAGUAAACUACAAAAGGCGGUCGACUUAUACAGUGUACCUUCUGAGUCCUCGUUAUUUACCAUUUGCCAUUUUUUUUGUAAAUAUCAUAACCCCCAUUUAAAAAUUUAUACCGCAUUUGAAUCAACUAUACAGCAUUUGCUUAUUUUGUUCCACUCGUCCACUACUUUGUCAACCAGUUUUUUGCCUCUCCUGACAGGACUAGGAUUUAUCUAAUUUAUACCCAUUGCUACGGGGUCAUAAUCCCCGUUUAAUAUGAAUAUUUUAUCAUCACUUAAUUCUUCGAACCCAUUAAUUUUUUUAUUGUAUUUCACCGCUCAUUCUACCUCUUUCCAAAAAAUACAAAGCAAACAUCUUAAUUUUUUAUCUGUAUGGUUAGAGUCUAAAACACUAAGCCCUCGAAAAAUAUUGGUUAUUCUUUCCUACUGAUUCGAGGAAUUUUUAUUAAUGUAAUAAAGGAACCAAAACUGAACCGUUUAGUCGUGAUGGGCCUACCCAGUGCCAAAAAUGAUUAAAGGAGAACUUUCGAGCUCUUGCUACUAACACUUCUGGAAAUGAACCUGCCACUUUUCAGCCAGUUUUCAGUCUGUUCUGGCAGUGGUGCGGAGAUUGCUGGGUCGGGAAUCAAAGCCCACACGCAUUGUCAUUGUUACGCACCCCUGAGGCACUUCCGCAGCUGGCAUGACAGGGAUAGAUUAAUGUAAAUGAUAAACAAUAAUGGCCCUAAAGCUGAUCCUUGAGGGACACCGUAACUAGAUUCGCGGUAUAUAAUAAAAUAGUUUUCGUUGCUAUCUGCCACUUCGUAACAAACGACUUGCUCAGAGUGUUGGAGGCCAUGAAUCAUAAUAUUAACUAUGUUUACCGAAAUGGUCACGAAUGUUUUUUGCUAUGAAAGAUCAACAUUUUCCUCGCUACCACUGGCACACUAACGGCCAGUAUUUUGAUAGAACUGAGUUAACCCCUCCUUGAAUGCCGGUACAACAUAUUUUUAAGCCGAGGGGAUACGCUAUAGAUGCGCCUGACCGCUGUGCUGAUCUCUGUACCAUUGGCCAUUGUCGGUACUACUCAGGUGUCGAAAGACUUUCUGAAAAUGUUAGCCAGAGGUUCGGCAAAUAUAUCCCUUGCUUCUUUUUAGUACGCACGGGAAAAUAUUAUUGGCUACUGAUGUGCUUGAAAAACUAACUGACUGGGAAAAUAAAUGUCUGCUAAUUUAACUGACUUAGAAAUGGAGUGACCAAGGGAUGAGCUGAACGGGAAAUGAACUGACUUGGAUACUAACUGACUGCGGAAUGAUCUCACUGGGAUGGAAAUUAACCGGUUGGAAAUUAAGAACGAUGUCAUAAUUACCUACAUCUUUCCUGAGCUUUUUCUAUGAACCCUGCCUUAGACAAAGUAUAAAUCUCAACAUUGGGGAUCAAAUUCCUCUGAAAGGAAAACAGAGACAAAAGAACAACAAAUGAAUUAAACGAAAGACAAUCAAACACAACAGACAUUUCGAAGACGUUUAUUGUUGCAUCCAGCGAAAGGCAAAGAAAGGCACAAGCUUGGCCAAGAUCUGCGGUGCGGCGUGAGUGAGCACAGUGGCAUCGGGAGUGAGCGGAGAGUCAGCGUAACGACCUGACGAGCCAUCAUCGGAAGGGCGUGGGAGAGUGCGAGUCUCCAUCCGUCUGUCCACGACUCUCGCACGACCGCCAGUUAUUUUUAUGAAGACACCGGAGAGAAAAGAACAUUACACGUAUAUUGUUUUAGUAUCCGUCCGCUCACUCCCUCACGAUGACUCACAUGACUAAUAGCUGCUGGUUAUGCUUAUUAGAAUGCUGAGGAGAACAGAAUGUAACACGUGCAUUGCUUCUAGUACUCAUGGUGGGUCAAUAAAGGAGUAUCGUUGAAGAGAUGAGGUCGUGGGAGCAGGCGUCCACUCACCACGGCAGUGCAAGAAAAGCGGGUGUCAAUUCUUAGUACUAAAAUGACGUAGGAAACAGAACAUUAGGCGUCCAUUGUUUCUAGUGCACUGGAGGGGCUUAUUGAGUGUCGAUAAGGAGAUGAGGUCGUGAGAGGAGGCUGGGGGACGUUCUUAAACAUUUCGGCGCCCAAGCAAACAUUUGACAAAGCUUUCGUGGGAAUUUUGAACAUUUCUCUGGAUAGUUUUAUAACCCUGGUGGUAGUUGAACUCUUCUUCUGUAGCAUGAACUUAAAAAAAAACUCGUUAGAACCCGACUGAUCUCCUUUUGGACCUUUGGAUAUAGUUGACGUGAGAUGCGGAAGCGUUUGUGAAUGACAUUAAACUCGUUCCAACUGUAUAAGCGGGUUCCAACUGUAUAAGCGGGUUCCAACUGUAUAAGCGGGUUCCAACUGUAUAAGCGGGUUCCAACUGUAUAAGCGGGUUCCAACUGUAUAAGCGGGUUCCAACUAUAUAAGCGGGUUCCAACUGUAUAAGCGGGUUCCAACUAUAUAAGCGGGUUCCAACUGUAUAAGCGGGUUCCAACUAUAUAAGCGGGUUCCAACUGUAUAAGCGGGUUCCAACUGUAUAAGCGGCUGGCAAUUCUUGUUACUAAAAUCCCGAACAAACUGAAGAGAACAUUACACGUGCGUUGCCUUUAUUAGUAUACAGAAGAUGUUCAAAAGAAAGUUAACUCUAUAAUAAGGAAAUAAAACUCCGCGACUCAAACGAAACGCGAAUGCCAUGUUGUGUUACUAAGAUGCCGAAGAGGAAAGAACAUGGUGCGUGCGUGUCUUUUAGGUUAUUUAGGACACUCAAGUGGUUCAUGAGAAAGUAUAAAUGAAGACAUAAGAAAUAAAAGCUAUAUCGUCCGUCUCAGCGCAGAACGGCUAGCGAGUGGAUUGCUACAGAUGCCGAACGGAACAUUUAUCAUAUCACGUGCUUAAGAUUCAGUGGUCUCCAGUGACUCACGAGAAAAUAGACUUGAAGACGAAAGAAUAUUAUAUACUAUACUUAAUGCAACAGAAGUUUUCACAUGCUCUCUAAAAAGGAUGACGCAUUUUUUCUUUUUUUUUUCUUUCUCUUUCUCGUUUUUUUCUGCCGCUUUAUACUUACAGAAACCUUUGUUCUCAAAACCAAGUGAUACAUAAUUUAAUAAUAUAUAAUGAUACACAGUUUAGUCUAUUCUUUAAUUCUCAACAUGAAGAUAAUAUCGAAAAGGAGAACUACUACGUUUUUAAGGCAUUGUAGAGGCCAAAUCUCUUAACUAUAGACUCCAGCUUGUGACGAGAAUGGAGAGAACAUAUUUUUACAGCAAAGGCAGCGGCUAACAGGCAAAAACAACCAGAACAAAGAAAGGGAAAAAGCCUUCUAAGCACUGCUCCUAUGAAAGAGAAGAGAAGCCAGAAGAGAGGUUAAUUUCUGAUGGAGAGAUGCCUUGAUACUCUCCCCUUGCACAGUUAGCCGCACAGCCUAAUUCAAAAAAGUCCUUGGUAGCGAUCAUCCUUUUAAGAGAAGCUUGGCACACGAACUUCGGUAUAUUUAACAUUAGGAGAGGUUUGGCGCUUUGGCUGGUGAACUUAAAAUGAACUUACACGGCUAAAUGAACAUUAAUAACAACGAUGGUGCUAAUAAUAGUACUAAUAGCGGUAAAUAUAGACAUAGAAAUAAUGAUGAUAUUAGUAAAGUUCUGCAAACCACCACCGUCAUCAUGCAUUCACUUCCUGGACUCUUCUUUUUGGCAACGAACGAGACAUUUAGGAAAAAGUGGUGUGAUCUUUUUGGUUUGGACAGUAGGCUACCAAUAAGUAAAACAGGAAAGAAUAUAAAAAGAAAGGCGACCAAUUUCACAUGAUAAGCGAAAUUUAAAUGAAUGCACUAAACUACACAGAAACUUACACUUAUAAAACACACACACACACACACACACACACACACACACACACAUUCACUCAGUCUUACUAUAUAAUUAUGGCUGUAACAUAAUAAAUGGAAGCAAUUAAUAUAUAUUUUGUAUAAUUGUAUAUUUUCAUGUCUAUACUCUCUCUCUCUCUCUCUCUCUCUCUCUCUCUCUCUCUCUCUCUCUCUCUCUCUCUCUCUCUCUCUCUCUCUC